CUGCUGAUGUCAUUCAGAUCUACCAAGCAGAACACGAAGGGACAUAAGAGUACUUUAACAAGUGAAAACAAGGUGAUACCACCUACAUAAAAGAAUCAAGCAAAGCAACAGAACAUUAAAUGGCUCUGACAGAUAGAUGUUCUUAUUCCUUUAUAUAAUUGCAGGGUUUGUUCCCUUUGUCCAAUGUUAAAUGCUUCACGGAAUGGAACUGCCACCAUUUCCUGACAGUAGCACAACCUAAUAAUUCUUAUGAUAAAGAAAUGCUUCCUUCCAUUAAGCCUGUUUCUUCUUUCCUCAUUCAUCUUCUACAGGUCAGAAUUACUCUCAUCUACAUUCCCUGAAACCAUCAUUUUACUUCUACUCACCCUAGCAACCACGGAUUAAGGAAUACAGCCAUGGAACUCACUGCAGAGCACUGCAGUACUGGAGUGGCCACACCUGCAGGAGAGGAUCCCCAGCACUACCCACUGGCAAACACAAGUGAAACACACUCCCCAUUCUGCUCCCAGGCAUGUCCUUACUCCACCUGCUUCUACAGAGAUUUGCCUUAACUACUGUUCAAAAUCAGUGGUACUGACAUAAUAUCAUGAUUUUGUAGCAAAAUAUAUCAUCCAAUCAGGUUGGAUGACUGCAAAUAUCCUGCAAAACAAGUACUUUGAAAAAACCAUGGAUAUUAAAUAAAGUUUUUCUCCACA